GCAGGAGGAAGGGAAUCGAGGUUCAGAAAAGAUCAAGAAGGAUGCUUCGAUGGUUAUAUGCGAGAAGCAAGUCGGGUGAGGUUAGGGAUUUGGCAAGGAGUGGAGGUUAGUGGCGGCUACAUGUAUGUAGGGUUGGUUAUGAGGUGGGAAAUGGGAGGUUGAAGGGAGAUAAGGUCUUUAACUAUAGGGUUUUUCGGUAAAUAAAAGGGAUGCAGACUGGGUUCGAAGGUCUUGCGGGAGUUUGGUCGUGGGUUUGGAUUUAGAAGAUAGUGACGAAUAUGGGAGGAUGAGGCAGCUUGGAUCUCGGCGCUAGAGGGACUCAGUUAGUUAGGGCUUUUACUUGGAGAAGAGCUGAGGGAAGGUUCGUGGGAUUGAAGAAGCGAGGAAGCAACAUCCUUUUGCAAUGCUUUGUUCUCAUUUUAACGACACAAAUAAGGAUGCGAUCGAGACGACCUAUGCAUGAUACAACCUCUUUGGUGUCGUUGCAGAGGCAUAGGGAAGCCGUAUUCGCAGGAUUUCAGCAGGAUUUGAGAGAAGGCGCAUUAUUGCAAGAAGCUGGACGAACACCUUCAUGAAUUACCAAUGGUUUGUGUUUGUAUAUACCAUCAUGGUCAUUAUCGUGAAAGAUUGGGUAAUUGCCUCUAGCAUUACUCGAUAGAUGAACUUCGUUAUGAUCUCUCGAAGAAAACAAAGCUUGGGAUGGCUGAUCACCACUAUAACGGAAAUUCAAAAUUCAGAACAUUCUCUCACUAAAAUUUUGGACUUUCUCUUUAGUACUAUUUACUCAAGGUAUAUUUAUCUUACAAAAUAAAUUCAAGGGUAUUCUGUCUCUAAUGAGAAAUGUACAAAACAGUGAAUAUGCUAGUAAAUAAAGUAUUUUUUACUAACGAAAAUGAAUAUCAUAAGCUUUUUCAAAGAAGACUUUUUUAUAUGAGUUGUGAA